ensembl:lncRNA
AUGGAGCCUCCCACAUCUGUACUCAUUCUGCCACUGCAGAUGAGCUUUACACUUUGCAGCUCAGCCAUUCUCGCUGUUUCUCUCUGGAUUUUAUCUGUCAGUCCCCAUAUUCCCUCUUGGCAGCAGCUCUCACCUUUACUCCUCAUUUUUUGCUUCACAAAGAAAUAUCCGGACUACGACUCGAUGCAUCACUAUCACCGGUCCUCAGAGGGUAAAUUUACUUUUGCCAGAAGCAAUUUUUCUGGCCCUGACCUGAGGGCAUCUACCUGCAGGAUCACAUUUAGGACACGAUUCAGAGUGGUAACAGAGUCAUCUGUGAAUGAGACAAGUCAUCAGCUGGGUUUAAUAAAAUUAAUGAAAUGGGAAUCUGAGGUGCUGAAUGAACAAACUGCGUUGUGUUGAGGAUGUUUUGGCAGCGCACUCAGAGAGGGUGAGUGUGCAAAACAUUUUUGGCUGUAACGCUGCAUCCACUGCCACACAUGAGGUCAUUUUUGAAAGAGCUUGCCAACAAAAUCGGUGUAAAAAUAAUUUUUCUCUGCAGAGUGGCAAUGGGAUCUCCACAAGAAUAUCACUAUUUGUAACACCACAUUAAGCUGAAUAAAUUAGCAAAGGUGAAGCUCAGUAACCAAAAGUGUCACACCCAGAAACAGCCUUACCGAUGGGAUGUUUACACAGCAUUUAAAGUUACUGUGCAGUGUGAAUGAACUGCAAAUGUGAUGCCUUUUCCCAAGUCAAAGCAAAAAAAGUGAAAAACCAGUACAAGCCCUUACCUUGUUUCUAUUUGAGAAAUGUGUGAUCUACCAAAUUUUAUCACCUUAGCUGAAAAUAUUGGUGAUAUUCCCAUUUCUUUUGUCCUUUACUUAACAAACCAAGCAGAAAUAAGUGAGGCAUAAGCCACCUUUUCAACUGCUGCUGCUAAUUCCUAAUGGCUUUUUCAUUUUAAAGGUGUAUUUAUUUAAAAAGGGUUAAAAUGGGUUUUCAACAAGGCUAUUUUUGAGGAAGUGAAGAACUCUUCUGAGGCCACUCAGUUUCACUUUAGUCAGAACACCAGUCAAGCAGAGAUUGACACUGCUAAUUUUCAAAGGUCAUAACCAGUCCAGGGAUGACUCCUCUUAGCCUCAUCCUGAACCUUCCCCUCUGCUUGUACACUCAGGGCACACGACUGGCAUUUACCCUGCAGAGAGAGAACACAUUAACACAUGAAUCACAUGUUCCUACUCACAUGACCUGUGGGAAGAUGUAAGUGUGGCUUUUAGCAUGUGGACCUGUGUGAAAAAGCGCAUUAAGGGUAUAUAACACCAAUAUCUCCAUUAUCACUACCGAACUGCAUACUUGAAUUCAGCAUGUCACUGCAACUAUAACACUUUUUAUCUUAUAAUACUAACAAUACCAUGAAGUAGUAUUAACCCUCCAAAGCUCACUGUUAGCUAUUUAGUAGCAAUUGUUGCUGUUUUUGUGACUGUGAAUUGUACAAGUUUGCUCUUUUGUCCUUUUGAAGUUCUAUUUAUGACUACUGGCUGGAGCGACGAGCACAAAGAGAUUAUAAGAAAGAGGAUAAUGUAAAAUAUAGCCAACAAAACAAGUUGUUGUUGCAGCCAAAUCUCCAAGAAACAGUCCUGAACUGUGUAAUACUUGUAUAUCCAUCAGAUGACGUUCACAAGGCCAAAAAGUGGCUUUAAAAUGGUGAAUAAAGUUAAAAAAAAAAUCAUUAAUGACUCCAUUUUACAAAUCAGAAUUUGUUAAAUACGUUUCAACAUAUUCAAAUUCUACAAAACUGGAAAAAUUAUUUUUAUUUAAUCGUACUCGUGUGUGGCAAGCAAACAGGAAGUCAGCCAGAUUCUGAAUAAGUACUCAACAAACUCAUGGCAGUCAUGCAACUCUACGCGCUAACCUCAUUUAUAUUGAUAAAUAAGGAGGAGAAAGCUAAGAGUGAGAUGAGCAUGCAAAAAUAUAUUUGUAAAGUCAGCACUAUUUUCUCAGACAGCAUACUAAAAGGUCUUGUCACUAAAAGGCCAAUGUUUGAGCUCAUGUGUCAAGUUAAAAGGCCCUUGUGUAAAACCUUCAACCACUUCUUUCUGUCUCAUUGUCAGGUAUUUUUGGUAUGCAUCAGCAAUAUGCAAAUUGGUCCGUUUUUGUAUCCCUGUUGGCGGGCAGCCGGCCUGUUUUCGGCUGGUUUCUGAUGUGGAAACCAGUCAAGGACAGCAGGUUUUAGAGUCAGACUUUGUACUGGAUGGCUGCCCAUUUUAAAUCAAAGGAAAAUUAAUCAUGACCAUUAACUCUAAAUAGAGCUUCAGCUUAAUAUUCCAUUAUGCUCUUAUAUAUUACCUACAUGCUGAUAAAAAUGUUCAUGUGCACUUUAUAUUAGUUUGCUGAACUAACCAAGCAUGUUGAUGCUCCAGGCUAAAUAUUUAGUAUGCUAAAUUUAGCUCAAAGUUAGAAGCCCUGCUGAGGUGUCCUUCCAAGAUGCCAUGAAGAAGGCAAAACAUCCAGACUUUAAUGCUCUUGCAGUUUAAGUACUUAGCAGGUGUGUUCCUGGGAAGUCUCUGAGUAAUGACUGCUGUCCAACCUGCAAUUAAUCAAGGGGCCUCAAGUGGAAUUUCUGCAGACCACCAGAGGGUCUACUUUUUCAUCAGAUUUUAACCACUGCCUGCAGCAACAUCAUAAAAUAAUACCUGUAUUUGUCUUAAAAACAACAAAAGAAGGCUGUUUUGUGGUUUCAUGGUGUCCAGAUCUUCCCAGGAAGGUUUGGCUCAUGUAAAGUGAAAACAGUGAAUUCUGGCUACUGGCUAUAAGUUGUAUCUACAAAUACUAUUAAGAACUGUUCACUAUCACAUUCCUUCGACAAAAGUCAGUCAGGGUUCCUGCGAUGCAGGUUAGCAAUAUGGCAGUUAGAUUGUCAUCCUCCUCAGGCCAAACUUUACCAAUAAAAAUGUUCAGCUGUUUGCCUGUUUUUUUUCACCCUCUCUCUAGUAUAAUCUUCUCUCAUAGCAACCAUCUGGAUGUCUUCCUUCAAUACAUCCAUGGAACACAAUACCUCUACCUUUUUUCUGUCCAUAAUUAAAAGCCCGCUCCCACCUUUUACCAGUCAUGUCCAUAUAUUAUUAAAAGUCCCUACGUUACUGUCUUUCCUCCUCUCUGGCUGCCUCCAAAAACAAGAAAUAGCACCAGAAAUUGGCCCUGUUGGUAAACACCAUCAGAAGGCGGUCCUUGUUAACCUUGGUCAAUCCGG